AUUGAACGCUGGCGGCAUGCCUUACACAUGCAAGUCGAACGGUAACGGGCCUUCGGGUGCCGACGAGUGGCGAACGGGGGAGUAAUACAUCGGAACGUGCCCGAUCGUGGGGGAUAACGAGGCGAAAGCUUUGCUAAUACCGCAUACGAUCUACGGAUGAAAGCAGGGGACCGCAAGGCCUUGCGCGGGCGGAGCGGCCGAUGGCCGAUUAGGUAGCUGGUGGGAUAAAAGCUUACCAAGCCGACGAUCUGUAGCUGGUCUGAGAGGAUGAUCAGCCACACUGGGACUGAGACACGGCCCAGACUCCUACGGGAGGCAGCAGUGGGGAAUUGUGGACAAUGGGCGCAAGCCUGAUCCAGCCAUGCCGCGUGCAGGAUGAAGGCCUUCGGGUUGUAAACUGCUUUUGUACGGAACGAAAAGCCUUCUUUUAAUACAGGAGGGUCAUGACGGUACCGUAAGAAUAAGCACCGGCUAACUACGUG
rnacentral:rRNA from 1 species